UACUUUCAACAACAAAUAUCUCAGUUCUCACAUCAAUGAAAAAUGUAGUGAAAUGUGACACUUAGUGUGAAUUGCAGAAUCCCGUGAACCAUUAUCGAGUCUUUGAAAGCAAGUUGUGCCCUAAGCCAUUAGGUUGAAGGCACGUUUGUAUGGCUGUCA
rnacentral:rRNA from 2 species